GCCUCCUUAGCUCAGCUGGUAGAGCAACUGACUUGUAAUCAGUAGGUCGUUGGUUCGAUCCCGACAGGAGGCUCCA
rnacentral:tRNA from 1 species